rnacentral:misc_RNA from 1 species
AAAAAGCAUGAUUUUGUGCAAUUGAUGAAAUAUCAAGGCUUGGAGCAUUAGUGGCUCCAUUAAUGGGGGCAAAUGACAUGGCAAAAGCCUGAGAAGUUUCAACCCCGACCUUAGAGCCCUGUGGCUGUGACUGCUGCUGUUUCUUUUCACCAGGAUUGCCACUUGCAGUAGUGGCACCACCCACUGUUGGUGGAGUCAUCAAAGCAAAGUUUGGUGGGUGUAUGGGCAUUGCAAAAUUCUGACCAUAAAUACUCAUAUUUGCACGAGAGACUCGACUAUCAGCAGUCGAAGGACUAUCUUCACCACCUAAUUCACUCUCAAGUUGCCGAGCUUGAUGAAGGACAUUCUGGUUCUGCAUUUGCUGCCGCUGUUGAAGCUGCAAUGAUGAUGGUUGCUGGUGUUUCGAGUUGGGAAAGCCUUGCAAAUUUC